rnacentral:rRNA from 1 species
GGCUCAGAACGAACGCUGGCGGCGUGCCUAACACAUGCAAGUCGAACGGGAAAGCCCGCAAGGGUGAGUACAGUGGCGCACGGGUGCGUAACACGUGGGUAAUCUGCCCUGAAGCCCGGAAUAACUCCCCGAAAGGGGUGCUAAUGCCGGAUGAGACCACGGGGACUUCGGUCCCUGGGGGAAAAGGUGGCCUCUGUAUACAAGCUAUCACUUCAGGAUGAGCCCGCGGCCCAUCAGCUAGUUGGCGGGGUAAUGGCCCACCAAGGCUACGACGGGUAGCUGGUCUGAGAGGACGAUCAGCCACACUGGAACUGAGACACGGUCCAGACUCCUACGGGAGGCAGCAGUGGGGAAUCUUGCGCAAUGGGCGAAAGCCUGACGCAGCAACGCCGCGUAUGUGAUGAAGGUCUUCGGAUCGUAAAGCACUGUCGGGAGGGACGAAUAAGGGCCGGGUGAACAAUCCGGUCUGACGACUGUACCUCCAAAGGAAGCACCGGCUAACUCUGUGCCAGCAGCCGCGGUAAUACAGAGGGUGCUAGCGUUGUUCGGAAUUAUUGGGCGUAAAGCGCGUGUAGGCGGCUGGCCAAGUCGGAUGUGAAAGCCCUCGGCUUAACCGAGGAAGUGCGUUCGAUACUAGCUAGCUUGAGUACCGGAGAGGGUGGUGGAAUUCCCGGUGUAGAGGUGAAAUUCGUAGAUAUCGGGAGGAACACCAGCGGCGAAGGCGACCACCUGGACGGAUACUGACGCUGAGACGCGAAAGCGUGGGGAGCAAACAGGAUUAGAUACCCUGGUAGUCCACGCUGUAAACGAUAGCGCUAGGUGUUGCGGGUGUUGACCCCUGCAGUGCCGAAGCUAACGCAUUAAGCGCUCCGCCUGGGAAGUACGGCCGCAAGGCUAAAACUCAAAG